ACCUGGCUGGCUCAGUAGAUAGAGCGUGUGACUCUUGAUCUCAGGGUUGUGAGUUCAAGCCCCGUGUUGGGUA
rnacentral:tRNA from 1 species